rnacentral:rRNA from 1 species
ACUACAUGAAGCUGGAAUCGCUAGUAAUCGCGAAUCAGCAUGUCGCGGUGAAUACGUUCCCGGGUCUUGUACACACCGCCCGUCACACCAUGGGAGUUGGUAACGCCCGAAGCCAGUGACCCAACCUUUAAGGAGGGAGCUGUCGAAGGUGGGACCGAUAACUGGGGUGAAGUCGUAACAAGGUACC